rnacentral:rRNA from 1 species
UACGGAGGGUGCAAGCGUUAUCCGGAUUUAUUGGGUUUAAAGGGUCCGUAGGCGGAUCUGUAAGUCAGUGGUGAAAUCUCACAGCUUAACUGUGAAACUGCCAUUGAUACUGCAGGUCUUGAGUGUUAUUGAAGUAGCUGGAAUAAGUAGUGUAGCGGUGAAAUGCAUAGAUAUUACUUAGAACACCAAUUGCGAAGGCAGGUUACUAAGCAACAACUGACGCUGAUGGACGAAAGCGUGGGGAGCGAAUGGG